GCCAUCGUGGUGAAAUGGAUAUCACAUCUGACUUCGGAUCAGACGUUCCGGGUUCGAAUCCUGGCGAUGGCA
rnacentral:tRNA from 1 species